CACGUUUCCUCAUUGUUUUCUUUUCAAAUCAAUUUCUCUUCAAACUUUUUCUCAGAUAAAUUGUCACUGCUUCACUGAACCCUAAAUCAACUUUGCAAAUAUACCUCACUCAUUGAACCCUAAAUCAAAUUUUCCACACCACCGCUUCACCUCUCUCUCGUACAACUCUUCUCUUCUUCUCCACGGGACACCGAACAUCUCUUCUCUCCCUCUCUCUAUGAGUUCCAAAUCGUCCAAUAAUACUGUGUUGCUGAGGUUUUUCAUCAUCAAAUCGUCCAAACCCACGGCUCCUCGAUUCAAAUCAGUUCCAACAAAGCUCCUUUUCUUCAAAGGUGUUGAUUUCAAGAUCAAAAGACUCACCGUAGGUGGAAAAAGAUUAAAACUUACAAUUUGGGACACAAGUAUGUAUAUACUAUAGUCAGAUUAGAUCUUUCGGUUCAAGAAGAAAAACCAAACUGAACCAUUAUAAUAGUUCGGUAAAACUGAAUCAAUUUGUUAACGGUUAUCCCAAACUGAACUGGUAUAAAGGUUCGGUGCAUCGAUUUUGUGGUUCCAAACCAAACUCCCUUUUUAGAAAAUCGAAUCGUAUUUUUUUCAAAUUGAACUGCUUCUUUGUGAACUGAAUUGAAUUGUUCACGAACUUAACCAAACCGAAUCGUUUCAGUUCGCUCCAAUUUGUGAACUGUCAGUCACAAUUCAGUUUAUAUGUUUUUAUAACAGUACUGACCUACCAGGUAACAAAGUAUGUAAAGAUAGAGGGAAUUAUUGAACAAGUAAUUUGAGUCCCAGACACACAUUGAAGUUCAUUGAACAAGUAAUUUAUACACAAGAGGGAAUUAUUGUACAAAUAUAUACAAUAAGAAGUUCUCUUACAAAGGUUUGUCUAAUAUUUGUCUCGAUCAAUUAGAAUUUCGUAGAUAGAGUACCAAAUGUUCAUAUUUUUUUGCUCAAAUUUCACGCAUUUCAUGCUCUUGAAUUUAAUAUAAUCAAUCUAGGUACUCAAUUGCUUUGCUCUUUGCAUAGAUUUUUGCAGGUAGAUUGUAUGUUUGAAAUAUCAAUUGACUAAUGGAGAUAGCAUCACUCAUGUAUCGAGUAGGUCUAUAGACUAUAGGUGUAUCAAUUAGCUUAUUUUAUGUUUAUUAAGUUUCUAGUUUUUUAUUUGAAUGAUUAUUUUUGUGUGUAUUGUGUUUAUCCAUUUCAGUUUUAUCUUCUUCAUGAUUUGAUUGAUUCUUCAUGGUUUUUACGAUAUUUGGUGUACUUGAAGAAAGGGAAGUUCGGCUGGAACCUCAAAUCAUACAUCGUGCCAUAUUAGUCAUGAUGAUUUUGAAGCCAUGAAUGAAUUUGAAUAAUUUAGGGGAGCUAGUUUGUUGAGAGCUUUCUAAGUUCUAUAUCAUAUCUUACUUUUUACAGAUUUCCUAUUGUGUUUAUCUUCAUAUAAACUUCCAGAAGUUUUGUAAAAGUCUUCGGAAUCAAGCAUUGUUGUAAGCACUUUUAAGCAGGAUGAAGGGCUCGAGUUAACAUUAUGAUGUGGACAUUGCAGCAAGGAGGAAGUGGACGGAACUGAAUGGCACUCCCCCCGCUCCUUCAGAUUUGUUUGUUCACACACACCAACAUCGCAAGAAUAAACUUGAGUGUGGCAGAUGAUAAUGAUGUAUGUCUGAUGAUGAUGAUCAAGUUCAUGAAGAUGAUGUGGCAGAUGAUAAAUUGAUGAUGAUGAUGAUGAUGAUGUCUGAUGAUGGUGUAGUAGUGUGGCUUACUUUAGUCUUGGUUAUGUUUUGGUUGAUUUGUAAUACUUAUUACUUAAAUAUAAAUAUAUUAUGUUCA